rnacentral:rRNA from 1 species
CCUACGGGAGGCAGCAGUGGGGAAUAUUGCACAAUGGGGGAAACCCUGAUGCAGCGACGCCGCGUGAGUGAAGAAGUAUUUCGGUAUGUAAAGCUCUAUCAGCAGGGAAGCGAAUGCCGGUACCUGAGUAAUAAGCCCCGGCUAACUACGUGCCAGCCGCCGCGGUAAUACGUAGGGGGCAAGCGUUAUCCGGAUUUACUGGGUGUAAAGGGAGCGUAGACGGCGAAGAAAGUCUGAAGUGAAAGCCCGCGGCUCAAACGCGGAAGUGCUUUGGAAACUUUUUUGCUGGAGUACCGGAGAGGUAAGCGGAAGUCCUAGUGUAGCGGUGAAAUGCGUAGAGAUUAGGAGGAACACCAGUGGCGAAGGCGGCUUACUGGACGGUAACUGACGUUGAGGCUCGAAAGCGUGGGGAGCAAACAGGAUUAGAUACCCGUGUAGUC